AAUCAACGCUGGCGGCGUGCCUAACACAUGCAAGUCGCACGAGAAAGGGGAGCAAUCCCUGAGUAAAGUGGCGCACGGGUGAGUAACACGUGAAUAAUCUACCUCCGAGUGGGGAAUAACUGAGAGAAAUCUUAGCUAAUACCGCAUAACACUUACGAGUCAAAGCAGCAAUGCGCUUGGAGAGGAGUUCGCGGCCGAUUAGUUAGUUGGCGGGGUAAUGGCCCACCAAGACGAUGAUCGGUAUCCGGCCUGAGAGGGCGCACGGACACACUGGAACUGAAACACGGUCCAGACUCCUACGGGAGGCAGCAGUGGGGAAUUUUGCGCAAUGGGGGAAACCCUGACGCAGCAACGCCGCGUGGAGGAUGAAGUAUCUUUGGUACGUAAAACUCCUUUCGAUUGGGAAGAUAAUGACGUACCAAUAGAAGAAGCCCCGGCUAACUUCGUGCCAGCAGCCGCCGCAGU
rnacentral:rRNA from 1 species